CUUGGUCAUUUAGAGGAAGUAAAAGUCGAAACAAGGUCUCCGUUGGUGAACCAGCAGAGGGAUCAUUACAGAGUUGCAAAACUCCCUAAACCAUUGUGAACGUUACCUUCAAACCGUUGCUUCGGCGGGCGGCCCGGGUCCGCCCGGUGCCCCCUGGCCCCCUAGCGGGGCGCCCGCCGGAGGAAACCCAACUCUUGAUUAUUAUGGCCUCUCUGAGUCUUCUGUACUGAAUAAGUCAAAACUUUCAACAACGGAUCUCUUGGUUCUGGCAUCGAUGAAGAACGCAGCGAAAUGCGAUAAGUAAUGUGAAUUGCAGAAUUCAGUGAAUCAUCGAAUCUUUGAACGCACAUUGCGCCCGCCAGUAUUCUGGCGGGCAUGCCUGUUCGAGCGUCAUUUCAACCAUCAAGCCCCAGGCUUGUGUUGGGGACCUGCGGCUGCCGCAGGCCCUGAAAACCAGUGGCGGGCUCGCUGUCACACCGGGCGUAGUAGAUUUUACCUCGCUCAGGGCGUGCUGCGGGUUCCGGCCGUUAAAAGCCUUUUUUUACCCAAGGUUGACCUCGGAUCAGGUAGGAAUACCCGCUGAACUUAAGCAUAUCAAUAAGCGGAGG
rnacentral:rRNA from 1 species